GUGGGGAAUCUUGCGCAAUGGGCGAAAGCCUGACGCAGCGACGCCGCGUGUGCGAUGAAGGCCUUUGGGUCGUAAAGCACUGUCGAGCGGAACGAAAGUCGGCGGCCGAUAAAGCCGCAGAUCUGACGGUACCGCUAAAGGAAGCACCGGCCAACUCUGUGCCAGCAGCCGCGGUAAUACAGAGGGUGCAAACGUUGCUCGGAAUUAUUGGGCGUAAAGCGCGUGUAGGCCGCUAAUUAAGUCGACUGUGAAAGCCCUUGGCUCAACCAAGGAAGUGCAGCCGAAACUGAUUGGCUCGAGUCCCGAAGAGGGUGGCGGAAUGCCCAGUGUAGAGGUGAAAUUCGCAGAGAUUGGGUAGAACACCGGUGGCGAAGGCGGCCACCUGGGAGGGUACUGACGCUGAGACGCGAAAGCGUGGGGAUCAAACAGGAUUAGAUACCCUAGUAGUCC
rnacentral:rRNA from 1 species